UACGGAGGGUGCAAGCGUUAUCCGGAUUCACUGGGUUUAAAGGGUGCGUAGGUGGUUCUUUAAGUCAGGGGUGAAAGACGGCAGCUUAACUGUCGCAGUGCCUUUGAUACUGAAGAACUUGAAUACACUAGAGGUAGGCGGAAUGUGACAAGUAGCGGUGAAAUGCAUAGAUAUGUCACAGAACACCAAUUGCGAAGGCAGCUUACUAUGGUGUCAUUGACACUGAGGCACGAAAGCGUGGGGAUCAAACAGG
rnacentral:rRNA from 1 species